UACGGAGGGUGCAAGCGUUAUCCGGAUUUACUGGGUUUAAAGGGUGUGUAGGCGGGGCUUUAAGUCAGUGGUGAAAUCUCCGAGCUUAACUUGGAAACUGCCAUUGAUACUAUUGAUCUUGAAUUCUGUUGAGGUGGGCGGAAUAUGUCAUGUAGCGGUGAAAUGCAUAGAUAUGACAUAGAACACCAAUUGCGAAGGCAGCUCACUAAGCAGAUAUUGACGCUGAGGCACGAAAGCGUGGGGAUCAAACAGG
rnacentral:rRNA from 1 species